GUAUUUGAGGGGCAGAAAGUUUUAGUUUAGGAAGAUGAAAAUUUUCUGGAGAUGGUUGGUCGUAAUUGUUACACAACAGUGUGAAUGUACUUAAUACCACUGAACUGUACACUUAGAAUGGUUAAAAUUGUAAACUUUUAUGCUAUAUAUAUAUUACCACAAU